GGAGUUUGGGCCGUGUCUCAGUCCCAAUGUGGCCGUUCACCCUCUCAGGCCGGCUACUGAUCGUCGACUUGGUGAGCCGUUACCUCACCAACUAUCUAAUCAGACGCGGGUCCAUCUUACACCGAUAAAUCUUUUCACACUAUAUCAUGCGAUACCGUGCGCUUAUGCGGUAUUAGCAGUCGUUUCCAACUGUUAUCCCCCUCUACGAGGCAGGUUACCCACGCGUUACUCAUCCGUUUGCCACUAGGUUCCAUAAAAGCAAGCUUAAAUAAAACCCCGUUCGACUUGCAUGUGUUAAGCACGCCGCCAGCGU
rnacentral:rRNA from 1 species